AGUGUAAUUGCUGGGUUGUAUGGUAAGUGUACGUUUAGUUUUUUAAGGGAUUGCAGAAAUCUUUUCCAGAGUAACUGCACCAGUUUAUGUUCUCACCAGCAAU
rnacentral:pre_miRNA from 1 species